GUCCACGCCCUAAAACGAUGUCUACUAGUUGUCGGGGUCUUAAUUGACUUGGUAACGCAGCUAACGCGUGAAGUAGACCGCCUGGGGAGUACGGUCGCAAGAUUAAAAACUCAAAGGAAUUGACGGGGACCCGCACAAGCGGUGGAUGAUGUGGAUUAAUUCGAUGCAACGCGAAAACCUUACCUACCCUUGACAUGGACGGAAUCCCGGAGAGAUCUCGGAGUGCUUGAAAGAGAGCCGUUACACAGGUGCUGCAUGGCUGUCGU
rnacentral:rRNA from 1 species